rnacentral:tRNA from 1 species
GGGCAGUUACCAGAGUGGCCAAAUGGGGCAGACUGUAAAUCUGCUGGUUUUUACCUUCGGUGGUUCGAAUCCAUCACUGCCCA